rnacentral:rRNA from 4 species
AGUCGAGCGGAAGAAGGGAGCUUGCUCCCGGAUGUUAGCGGCGGACGGGUGAGUAACACGUGGGUAACCUGCCUGUAAGACUGGGAUAACUCCGGGAAACCGGAGCUAAUACCGGAUAGUUCCUUGAACCGCAUGGUUCAAGGAUGAAAGACGGUUUCGGCUGUCACUUACAGAUGGACCCGCGGCGCAUUAGCUAGUUGGUGGGGUAAUGGCUCACCAAGGCAACGAUGCGUAGCCGACCUGAGAGGGUGAUCGGCCACACUGGGACUGAGACACGGCCCAGACUCCUACGGGAGGCAGCAGUAGGGAAUCUUCCGCAAUGGACGAAAGUCUGACGGAGCAACGCCGCGUGAGUGAUGAAGGUUUUCGGAUCGUAAAGCUCUGUUGUUAGGGAAGAACAAGUGCGAGAGUAACUGCUCGCACCUUGACGGUACCUAACCAGAAAGCCACGGCUAACUACGUGCCAGCAGCCGCGGUAAUACGUAGGUGGCAAGCGUUGUCCGGAAUUAUUGGGCGUAAAGGGCUCGCAGGCGGUUUCUUAAGUCUGAUGUGAAAGCCCCCGGCUCAACCGGGGAGGGUCAUUGGAAACUGGGAAACUUGAGUGCAGAAGAGGAGAGUGGAAUUCCACGUGUAGCGGUGAAAUGCGUAGAGAUGUGGAGGAACACCAGUGGCGAACGCGACUCUCUGGUCUGUAACUGACGCUGAGGAGCGAAAGCGUGGGGAGCGAACAGGAUUAGAUACCCUGGUAGUCCACGCCGUAAACGAUGAGUGCUAAGUGUUAGGGGGUUUCCGCCCCUUAGUGCUGCAGCUAACGCAUUAAGCACUCCGCCUGGGGAGUAC